GAUGAACGCUGGCGGCGUGCCUAAUACAUGCAAGUCGAACGCAUAGCGAAAGGUGCUUGCACCUUUCAAGUGAGUGGCGAACGGGUGAGUAACACGUGGACAACCUGCCUCAAGGCUGGGGAUAACAUUUGGAAACAGAUGCUAAUACCGAAUAAAACUUAGUGUCGCAUGACACAAAGUUAAAAGGCGCUUCGGCGUCACCUAGAGAUGGAUCCGCGGUGCAUUAGUUAGUUGGUGGGGUAAAGGCCUACCAAGACAAUGAUGCAUAGCCGAGUUGAGAGACUGAUCGGCCACAUUGGGACUGAGACACGGCCCAAACUCCUAAGGGAGGCUGCAGUAGGGAAUCCUCCACAAUGGGCGAAAGCCUGAUGGAGCAACGCCGCGUGUGUGAUGAAGGCUUUCGGGUCGUAAAGCACUGUUGUAUGGGAAGAACAGCUAGAAUAGGAAAUGAUUUUAGUUUGACGGUACCAUACCAGAAAGGGACGGCUAAAUACGUG
rnacentral:rRNA from 1 species